CCUGCUAUGUUGCCCUGUUUACCUUCAUCUUUUUAUAAAUAUGAACACCCAGGGGAAAGCCAGCAAGACACUGGGAAAAACAGACUACAGGAACAAGUAAAAAGUGAUAUCCUAGACACCAAGUAAGAGUCCCAAGAAGACAGGAAAUGUACAUGGUGCUAAAAGACAAACUAAGGAAUAGCCUCUGUGAAUCCUGAAAAUUUUAGACAGGUCUCAGUUAAUUUAGAAAGUUUAUUUUGCCAAGGUUGAGGACAUGUGCCCAUGACACAGCCUCAGGAAGUCCUCACAUGUGCCCAAGGUGGUCGGGGCACAGCUUAGUUUUAUACAUUUUAGGGAGACAUGAGACAUCAAUCAACAUAUGUAAGAAGUACAUUGGUUCAGUCUGGAAAAGUGGGACAACUUGAAGCAAAGGCAGAAAGACUCCAAGCUGGGAGGGGGCUUCCAGGUCACAGAUAGGUGAGAGAUGAAGGUUGCAUUCUUUUGAGUUUCUGAUUAGCCUUUUGAAGGGAGGCAAUCAGAUAUGCAUCCAUGUCAGUGAGCAGCGGGGUAACUCUGAAUAGAAUGGGAGGCAGGUUGGCCAUAAGCAGUUCCCACCUAGACUUUUCCCUUUAGCUUAGUGAUUUGGGGUCCCCAAGAUUUUCUUUUUAUACCUCUUACAUGCCCAGUUUCUCACACAGGCUGUCACCAGCCAUCAGAGGAAUGGUGAAGUACAAACUGGAAUAGGUUGAGUGAAACUCAAGAAAUUUGGAGGGCAUAUAUAAAAUACUAUUUCUGUAAUCUUGAUAGUAUAAUGGAAAGGAGAUAGGAUCUAAGAUAAAUUUUUUGUGUUGUUCCUCCAUGUUCCAGACCCGAGGGAGAAAGCAGAUAAAGGAAAUACCUGAGCAACAUUCAAGAAACUGUAGAAUGUAGUUAGAAAACAGUGCCAUGGGGGAGAGGGUCUUCUAGAUUGGGAUGCAUAGAGUACGUCUGCUUACAAAAACAGGGGUAAGGUGUAUUCUGUCAUAAACUGAAGAGAAGGUGCCUAAUAAUUGUUUUUUUAAAUUAAAAAAAAGAAAAAGAAAAAAGAAAAGAAAGGAUUAUUUGCCGGGUGCGGUGGCUCACGCCUGUAAUCCCAGCACUUUGGGAGGCCGAGGAGAGUGGAUCAUCUGAGGUCAGGAGUUUGAGACCUGCCUGGCCAACAUGGUGAAACCCCAUUUCUACUAAUAAUGCAAAAAUUAGGCCGGACGCGGUGGCUCACACCUGUAAUCCCAGCACUUUGGGAGGCUGAGGCGGGCAGAUCACAGUCAGGAGUUCGAGACCAGCCUAACUAACAUGGUGAAACCCUGCCUCUACUAAAAAUACACAAAUUAGCCAGGCAUGCUGGCGUGUGCCUGUAAUCCCAGCUACUCA
rnacentral:lncRNA from 1 species